rnacentral:rRNA from 1 species
AGAUUGAACGCUGGCGGCAGGCCUAACACAUGCAAGUCGAGCGGCAGCACGGGUACUUGUACCUGGUGGCGAGCGGCGGACGGGUGAGUAAUGCCUAGGAAUCUGCCUGGUAGUGGGGGAUAACGCUCGGAAACGGACGCUAAUACCGCAUACGUCCUACGGGAGAAAGCAGGGGACCUUCGGGCCUUGCGCUAUCAGAUGAGCCUAGGUCGGAUUAGCUAGUUGGUGGUAGUAA